UGAGGUAGAGGUCGCGGCAAGUGAAGAGUAGACCGGAGGAGGCGUAUAAGGACGCCCAUGAUUCCGGCCGAAAGGCACUGCCGCCGAAGUGGAUUGCCACCUUAUUGCAAUCUGCUGGGGCUGUUGCCGAAAGGGACAGAACUGUCACGCCAUUC
rnacentral:ncRNA from 1 species